AGCUUACCAGUGAUGUCCAAAAAUAAAUGUCUGAACAAAUGACUGUCCAGUGAUAACAUGUUAGGUCUGAGGUGAGCU